AGACGUGGGUGGCAAACGUUACCCGGAUUUACUGGGCGUAAAGUGCGCGUAGGCGGCUCGGUAAGUUGGGCGUGAAAGCUCCCGGCUCAACCGGGAGAGGACGCUCAAGACUGCCGGGCUCGAGGGCGGUAGAGGGAGGCGGAAUUCCCGGUGUAGCGGUGAAAUGCGUAGAUAUCGGGAGGAACGCCAGUGGGGAAGCCGGCCUCCUGGGCCGACCCUGACGCUGAGGCGCGAAAGCCAGGGGAGCGAACCGGAUUAGAUAACCUAGUAGUCC
rnacentral:rRNA from 1 species